rnacentral:lncRNA from 1 species
CAAGUACAGGCAGUGACGUUUUCAAGCAUAUGGUGCACGUUACAUACACUCGGUGUACUUACAUGCAUGCAGUGCACGUUACACACGUGCAGGUGAGACACUCCUCCACAUAAAGCAAAACUCACAAAGGAAGUACUUAGUUUUGCUAAAUUUAGUACCACUCACCCACCACGCAAGCGCUUGGGUCUGAGGCGGCGGUCCGGGGUUCGAGGCUCGGGACCUACAAUUCCCUUCCCUGUUCCGAGUCGGCAGAGAUGACUCCGCGGCGGCUUACAGCACUGGCCGCUCACGCGGAGGACUCAGAUUCGGUGCCCAGCACCCACGUGGCAGGGCAGAACGUCCUCAAACUGCAGCUCCAGGGAAGCCGACGUCCUCGGUCUUCUGCUCCUCGCACAUGACCCCCGGGGUGCUGUGUGCACGGUCACUCCGCCCUGUGCCCCUCCCGCAGGGACGCCGAGGCGCAGGAAUGCGCUCAGUACCUCCCCGGCCGCCUCGGCUGCCACUUCCCGGAGCUCGGGGCGCCGCGGACCACGGACGACUACGUGUUCCUGGUAGACGGGACCAGUCGCACAGACGCCGUGGCCUUCGUGGACUUUGCUCCCCUUUCCGCCGUGAUGCUCGAAAAGUACAAUCCUCCUGAAAACCUGACGGUCGCCCACGAAGAUUCGGGGACCGUCAUCCGGUGGGAAAACCCGGAGAGGCGAUUCAACUUAGCACCGAGCACCUUCUGGUACCAACUUCACAUCCAAAGCCAGGUCGUAAGCACCGCCAACUCCUGGGUGGUUUCGGUGCUCACUACAAAUACCUCCAUUUACCUCUUUUCACCCCUCCCACAGGGAAGCUCCCAGGAGAGAGAACCGAUUUGUCAACGCGGACAUGAGAGAAAUGAGUACCGAGUACCCAGUACCGAGUCGAAGACAGAGCACA